CUUAGAGACUGAUGCUGUGUGUGCAGUUUUUGUUUGUUCCCUGCUUCCUUUUCGGGCCUUGCUUUGUUGGGUCUGUUCCUGUCUCUGGUCGUGCUUCCCCUCACCCCAGCAGACGAUGGCGUGAAGCACCGCAGAGGCCAGCAUGGUGUACAACUGUUUUUUGGAGUGAAAUUUGCCAGCGAGCACACCAGUCGGAGUCUCUUCAGCCAUUUUUGUACUGAAG